CCUACGGGUGGCAGCAGUGGGGAAUAUUGCACAAUGGGGGAAACCCUGAUGCAGCGACGCCGCGUGAGUGAAGAAGUAUUUCGGUAUGUAAAGCUCUAUCAGCAGGGAAGAAAUAGCGACCUUUGGGUCGCCAGACGGUACCUGAUUAAGAAGCCCCGGCUAACUACGUGCCAGCAGCCGCGGUAAUACGUAGGGGGCAAGCGUUAUCCGGAUUUACUGGGGGUAAAGGGAGCGUAGACGGCAGCGCAAGUCUGAAGUGAAAUGCCGGGGCUUAACCCCGGAACUGCUUUGGAAACUGUGCAGCUAGAGUGCAGGAGAGGUAAGUGGAAUUCCUGGUGUAGCGGUGAAAUGCGUAGAUAUUAGGAGGAACACCAGUGGCGAAGGCAGCAUACCGGCGCUCAACUGACGCUCAUGCACGAAAGUGUGGGUAUCGAACAGGAUUAGAUACCCCAGUAGUC
rnacentral:rRNA from 1 species